rnacentral:lncRNA from 1 species
CUAAACAUAUCCCUGUUUUCUGCCUUUUCCUUUCGUCAUAAAAAGUAAGUAUGGAAGAUUGGCCAUUACUAUUUUGGAGCAAGAAGCUCUGCACUUUAUUUAAUUCUUUGCAGUAUCAACGUUCAAAUUCAAACGGGUAGGUUAGAUCAAAAUUCAAAAUCAAAUCUGAAAAAUUCCCGCUCAAGAAGCCCUAUAUAUAAUCUGCUGCUAUAAAUAUCUGCAUUGGGCUUAAUUUCGGGCAAGCUCGGAGCCGCGCUUUCACCCCAUAAACAAAAGGCUAAGCCGCCCUCUCUAUCCCAAAUAAUCGAAUGUUUACUAUUGUUUGCCUUCUGAUACCAAAUUGAUAGGUAUCUCGAUGAAACAGUAGCUAAG